ACACGUAGGGGCCUGACGUUGUUCGGAAUCAUUGGGCGUAAAGGGCGCGCAGGCGGCCGUCCAAGUCCGGUGUUAAAUGGUCGGGCUCAACCCGAUCAUGCGCUGGAAACUGGGCGGCUUGAGUCCCGUAGGGGAUGCCGGAAUUCCAGGUGUAGGGGUGAAAUCUGUAGAUAUCUGGAAGAACACCGAUGGCGAAGGCAGGCAUCUGGCCGGAGACUGACGCUGAGGCGCGAAGGCGCGGGGAGCGAACAGGUUUAGAUACCCUGGUAGUCCGCGCAGUAAACGAUGCGCACCAGGUGUCGGGCGGCAGCGCCCGGUACCGGAGCUAACGCGAUGAGUGCGCCGCCUGGGGAGUAUGCCCGCAAGGGUGAAACUCAAAGGAAUUGACGGG
rnacentral:rRNA from 1 species